CAGCCGCCGCGGUAAUACGGAGGGUGCAAGCGUUAAUCGGAAUUACUGGGCGUAAAGCGCACGCAGGCGGUUUGUUAAGUCAGAUGUGAAAUCCCCGAGCUUAACUUGGGAACUGCAUUUGAAACUGGCAAGCUAGAGUCUUGUAGAGGGGGGUAGAAUUCCAGGUGUAGCGGUGAAAUGCGUAGAGAUCUGGAGGUAUACCGGUGGCGAAGGCGGCCCCCUGGACAAAGACUGACGCUCAGGUGCGAAAGCGUGGGGAGCAAACAGGAUUAGAUACCCCUGUAGUCCCUGUCUCUUAUAC
rnacentral:rRNA from 1 species